UUAAAAUGCCGGCAAGGAGUUAUUGUGACAGGGUUAGCUCGGUGGAAGCCAACAAUCUUCUCCAGUUGGAGCAGUUGGACGGUUGACCACUGAAAGCCCUGACGCCCUACACUUCGGUGAAGCCUGUGAGACAAAGACCGUCAACUGUCCAAACCACCCAGGAGGUAUCCCAUCCACCAGAGCCAGGAUCAGUCUGAUUCUUUGUGCUCUUGAGUCGGAAGGGGACCAGUUUGAGGUGCAGCAUCCAGAAGUAGGAGGCCUCCUCGCGGUGGGCGGCAUCGCCAUGCUGUCAACAGUACCAACACUGGCCCAGGGGUUUAUCCAGAUAGUCAGUCUCAAGGCUAACCACUGGUUCACGGGACCUCUUUGACUGUGGAGUGGGCAGCAGUCCAGAAGUAGAAAGGGGGCACAGAUUGUGGGCUGUUUGCUAUUGCUCCCUGCAGAGAUGAGGAACCCUCCAUGGCACGAUACGAUCAGAAAUCCAUGAGAAAACAUAUUUCCUCUUGUUUUCAGGCUGGUUACCUGGCGCCAUUACCCAGUCCCAAUUCCAUCCCGAUUCCAGCCCCCCCCUGGGUCCAGGCCUCUCAAGGUGUCCACACCCUACACAACAGAGUCCGUCAUCUGUUUUGUCUGAUGAUUUCCUAACCCGUUUUCACUGCUUGCCCGGCUCCUCACCUCAAGACGACGAAAUUCUUCGUCUAGUGACUUCUGAUUGCCCAACAAUCUGCCCACUCAUCCCAUCCCCUCCUCUGUGUCAUUAUAUCAUUUAAAGCUACUGUUAUUGUCAUGAUGUCAUUAUCUGCUAAUAAAGUUUGCUAGCCAUAUCA
ensembl:lncRNA